rnacentral:sRNA from 1 species
UUUACAUAAACUGCCAUUUGAAUCGUGCGCCCCGCUAUCUGAGAUCUGGAAAUGUCUCCAUCCGAUAGUAGGGCUUAUCCUUAGUGUUGAAUAAUCAAGUUGUUAAUCGCUAAAUCCUGUGAGCGUUUAUGAUUCACACCCAGAAGACAGCAAAUGCCUAAUAAAUAAGCGCCGUACGUGCCUUCAUUCUUGUACUCAGCUCAAUGAAAACCUCCCUCCUGCUGUCUUUUUGUCGAAAGCCAACCUAGAAAAAGCCGCAGGAGGGGUGUUUUCUCAACGAAGUAGAGAAAUGUGACCUGGUUCAUGACUUCACAACAUGGCCUUGACCAUUCGCAUUUAUUCGCAUUCGUGUAAUAUCCUCCAUCCACGGCCAUUUUGCGCAUCCUCUUCACCAAAUACCCAAAGCAAUCAGGAAGGCUAGGCUCAUUGAUUCAUUAGCAACAAGAAGCAACAAGCAACAAGCAGAAUAAUACAGAGAAAGGCAGAAGCAGAAGAAAGAGAAACCACAAAGCAACAACACGAUGAAGUUGCCACUUCUCGCUUGCUUCCAAUGACUGCACAACUACGCUCCCUCCUCGCUGUUCUGAUCGGCCAAAUCCGAAAAUGAUGCCGGCGAAUGGCUAACGGCACAGAAAGAUGAAGGAGGCGGAAAGGAUGAGGUCUAAAACAAGACACAAUUGAUCUCCACCGACCGGACCAAGCGAAACAACGACGGCCGAGGACGAGCGGAGAACGGCGAAACGGGUUCGAUGUCCGUGUGUUCGUCAGCAUAUUUGUGCCUGAGCUCGGCGAUGACGUCAAUGUGUAAUAAUUCCCAAAAUCCUUGGCCCUAUAUUUAUAAGCCCGUUUCAGCGGUUCAGUUCUUGGGGUUGAGUGAAAUGAGCUGGGGAUUGAGAUUGGGUUCUUCGAGCUUAGAUGUUGGCAGCUGCUAUCUCGGGGUUUGCUGUUGGGGGAUAAAGGCAAGAUGCUGUGAAAGGUUAGGAAGUAGACUUUGAGUGCACAGGAAAGAGAGAAUUUAUAACAAGAAGAAAGCAACAAGGAGAUAUAGCUAACUAAUAGAUGAUGAUUGUAUUUAUGUAGUGGCAGUGCAUUUCGACACCAUGAAUCGCCGUCAUCGAUCUGCAG